rnacentral:rRNA from 1 species
GACGAACGCUGGCGGCGUGCUUAACACAUGCAAGUCGAACGGAAGGGCCCUGCUUGCAGGGUGCUCGAGUGGCGAACGGGUGAGUAACACGUGGGUGAUCUGCCCCUUACUUUGGGAUAAGCCUGGGAAACUGGGUCUAAUACUGGAUAGGACCAUGCUGUAGGUGGCGUGGUGGAAAGAUUAGUUUCGGUAAGGGAUGAGCUCGCGGCCUAUCAGCUUGUUGGUGGGGUAAUGGCCUACCAAGGCGUCGACGGGUAGCCGGCCUGAGAGGGUGGACGGCCACAUUGGGACUGAGAUACGGCCCAGACUCCUACGGGAGGCAGCAGUGGGGAAUAUUGCACAAUGGGCGCAAGCCGGAUGCAGCGACGCCGCGUGGGGGAUGACGGCCUUCGGGUUGUAAACUCCUUUCAGCCAUGACGAAGCCCUUGUGGUGACGGUAGUGGUAGAAGAAGCACCGGCUAACUACGUG